rnacentral:rRNA from 1 species
GACGAAUGCUGGCGGCGUGCUUAACACAUGCAAGUCGAACGGUGAAGGAGAGCUUGCUCUCCGGAUCAGUGGCGAACGGGUGAGUAACACGUUGGUAACCUGCCCCUCACUUCGGGAUAACCAUCCGAAAGGAUGGCUAAUACCGGAUACGAAGCCUGGAGGCAUCUCCGGGUUUGGAAAGUUUUUCGGUGAGGGAUGGACCCGCGGCCUAUCAGCUUGGUGGUGAGGUAAUGGCUCUCCAAGGCGAAGACGGGUAGCCGGCCUGAGAGGGCGACCGGCCAAACUGGGACUGAGAAACGGCCCAGACUCCUACGGGAGGCAGCAGUGGGGAAUAUUGCACAAUGGGCGAAAGCCUGAUGCAGCGACGCCGCGUGAGGGAUGAAGGCCUUCGGGUUGUAAACCUCUUUCAGCAGGGACGAAGUGAAAAUGACGGUACCUGCAGAAGAAGCACCGGCUAACUACGUGCCAGCCGCCGCGGUAA